rnacentral:rRNA from 1 species
GACGAACGCUGGCGGCGUGCUUAACACAUGCAAGUCGAGCGGAAAGGCCUGCUUUCCCUUGUGGAUUGCGGGUACUCGAGUGGCGAACGGGUGAGUAACACGUGAGUGAUCUGCCCCCAACUUGGGUAUAAGCCUGGGAAACUGGGUCUAAUUCCCGAUAGGACUGCAGGGUGGUGCCUGUGGUGGAAAACGAUUUUCUAGUGGUUGGGGAUGAGCUCGCGGCCUAUCAGCUUGUUGGUGGGGUAAUGGCCUACCAAGGCGGCGACGGGUAGCCGGCCUGAGAGGGUGGACGGCCACAUUGGGACUGAGAUACGGCCCAGACUCCUACGGGAGGCAGCAGUGGGGAAGAUUGCACAAUGGGCGGAAGCCUGAUGCAGCGACGCCGCGUGGGGGAUGACGGCCUUCGGGUUGUAAACUCCUUUCGACCGCGAGGAAGCCACCUGGUUGGAAGGGUGGUGACGGUAGUGGUAGAAGAAGCACCGGCUAACUACGUG